AGAGUUUGAUCCCGGCUCAGAAUCAACGCUGGCGGCGCGCCUAACACAUGCAAGUCGAACGAGAAAGGGGGAGCAAUCCCCUGAGUAAAGUGGCGUACGGGUGAGUAACACGUGGGUCAUCUACCCUUUAGUGGGGAAUAACCCUGGGAAACCGGGGCUAAUACCGCAUAAGCCCGAGAGGGGAAAGCCGAAAGGCGCUGAAGGAGGAGCCCGCGGCCGAUUAGCUAGUUGGUGGGGUAAUGGCUCACCAAGGCGAAGAUCGGUAGCCGGCCUGAGAGGGCACACGGCCACACUGGCACUGAAACACGGGCCAGACUCCUACGGGAGGCAGCAGUGGGGAAUCUUGCACAAUGGGGGAAACCCUGAUGCAGCGACGCCGCGUGAGCGAUGAAGCCCUUCGGGGUGUAAAGCUCUUUCGGCAGGAACGAUAAUGACGGUACCUGCAGAAGAAGCUGCGGCUAACUACGUGCCAGCAGCCGCGGUAAUACGUAGGCAGCAAGCGUUGUUCGGAAUUACUGGGCGUAAAGAGUAUGUAGGCGGUUCUGUAAGUUCGGUGUGAAAUCUCCCGGCUCAACUGGGAGGGUGCGCCGAAAACUGCAGGGCUAGAGUGUGGGAGAGGAAAGCGGAAUUCCUGGUGUAGCGGUGAAAUGCGUAGAUAUCAGGAGGAACACCGGCGGUGUAGACGGCUUUCUGGACCAUUACUGACGCUGAGAUACGAAAGCGUGGGGAGCAAACAGGAUUAGAUACCCUGGUAGUCCACGCC
rnacentral:rRNA from 1 species